rnacentral:rRNA from 1 species
CGAGACGUGAAAGUUAAGCAGGUGAACCCGCUGAAAUUUAUAGCAU